GCUGACGUGGCUCGGGGCCUGCCCGGCCUGAGCCGCCGGACAGGCCCCGCGUUCGACGGGCCGCGUCAGCG
rnacentral:tRNA from 1 species